CUGGAAUGAUGCUGCAUUAGCCAAAUCAGACUUUUUGAUGUGCUCCAUAAGGCAUCAGCUUCAAAGCUAUUUUCUUGAUUUGUUUUUUUAUAAGCACAACGGUUACCUCUUAGUAACUCUAAUCUAGCUUUGUAUGGGAGGCCUUUUGUUGAAGUGCAUUCUCUGACGAUACCUUCGGGAUUGGUUGCUUGUCUGACCAGA
rnacentral:snoRNA from 1 species